GACGAACGCUGGCGGCGUGCCUAACACAUGCAAGUCGAACGGAAAGGCCCUGCUUUUGUGGGGUGCUCGAGUGGCGAACGGGUGAGUAACACGUGAGUAACCUGUCCUUGACUUUGGGAGAACUUCAGGCAACUGGGGCUCAUACCGGAUAGGAGCUAUUGCUGCAUGGUGGGGGUUGGUAAGUUUCGGCGGUUGGGGAUGGACUCGCGGCUUAUCGGCUUGUUGGUGGGGUAGUGGCUUACCAAGGCUUUGACGGGUAGCCGGCCUGGGAGGGGGACCGGCCACAUUGGAACUGAGAUACGGCACAGACUCGAACGGUAGGCAACGGAGGAGAGUAUUACACAGUGGGCUGAAGCCUGAUGUGGCAACGCCGCGUGCGGGAUGACGUCCUGCGGGUUGUGAACCGCUUUCGCCUUUGACGAAGCGUGAGUGACGGUAAUGGGUAAAGAAGCACCGGCUAACUACGUG
rnacentral:rRNA from 1 species